rnacentral:rRNA from 1 species
UACGGGGGGGGGCAAGCGUUGUUCGGAAUUACUGGGCGUAAAGGGCUCGUAGGCGGCCAACUAAGUCAGACGUGAAAUCCCUCGGCUUAACCGGGGAACUGCGUCUGAUACUGGAUGGCUUGAAUCCGGGAGAGGGAUGCGGAAUUCCAGGUGUAGCGGUGAAAUGCGUAGAUAUCUGGAGGAACACCGGUGGCGAAGGCGGGUCUCUGGACAGUUCCUGACACUGAGACACGAAGGCCAGGGGAGCAAACGGG